rnacentral:rRNA from 1 species
AGAACUUAGCAGAGAUGCUUUGGUGCCUUCGGGAACUCUGAGACAGGUGCUGCAUGGCUGUCGUCAGCUCGUGUUGUGAAAUGCUGGGUUAAGUCCCGCAACGAGCGCAACCCUUAUCCUUUGUUGCCAGCGGUCCGGCCGGGAACUCAAGGAGACUGCCAGUGAUAAACUGGAGGAAGGUGGGGAUGACGUCAAGUCAUCAUGGCCCUUACGAGUAGGGCUACACACGUGCUACAAUGGCGCAUACAAAGAGAAGCGACCUCGCGAGAGCAAGCGGACCUCAUAAAGUGCGUCGUAGUCCGGAUUGGAGUCUGCAACUCGACUCCAUGAAGUCGGAAUCGCUAGUAAUCGUAGAUCAGAAUGCUACGGUGAAUACGUUCCCGGGCCUUGUACACACCGCCCGUCACACCAUGGGAGUGGGUUGCAAAAGAAGUAGGUAGCUUAACCUUCGGGAGGGCGCUUACCACUUUGUGAUUCAUGACUGGGGUGAAGUCGUAACAAGGUAGGCGUACGUGU